rnacentral:piRNA from 1 species
UCGAAAGGACAGUGCCGCAAUGAUGACA